rnacentral:rRNA from 1 species
AUUGAACGCUGGCGGCAUGCCUUACACAUGCAAGUCGAACGGCGGCACGGGUGCUUGCACCUGGUGGCGAGUGGCGAACGGGUGAGUAAUACAUCGGAACAUGUCCUGUAGUGGGGGAUAGCCCGGCGAAAGCCGGAUUAAUACCGCAUACGAUCUACGGAUGAAAGCGGGGGACCUUCGGGCCUCGCGCUAUAGGGUUGGCCGAUGGCUGAUUAGCUAGUUGGUGGGGUAAAGGCCUACCAAGGCGACGAUCAGUAGCUGGUCUGAGAGGACGGCCAGCCACACUGGGACUGAGACACGGCCCAGACUCCUACGGGAGGCAGCAGUGGGGAAUUUUGGACAAUGGGCGAAAGCCUGAUCCAGCAAUGCCGCGUGUGUGAAGAAGGCCUUCGGGUUGUAAAGCACUUUUGUCCGGAAAGAAAUCCUUGGCCCUAAUACGGUCGGGGGAUGACGGUACCGGAAGAAUAAGCACCGGCUAACUACGUG